AUGAACGCUAGCUACAGGCUUAACACAUGCAAGUCGAGGGGCAGCAUGGUCUUAGCUUGCUAAGGCCGAUGGCGACCGGCGCACGGGUGAGUAACACGUAUCCAACCUGCCGUCUACUCUUGGACAGCCUUCUGAAAGGAAGAUUAAUACAAGAUGGCAUCAUGAGUCCACAUGUUCACAUGAUUAAAGGUAUUCCGGUAGACGAUGGGGAUGCGUUCCAUUAGAUAGUAGGCGGGGUAACGGCCCACCUAGUCUUCGAUGGAUAGGGGUUCUGAGAGGAAGGUCCCCCACAUUGGAACUGAGACACGGUCCAAACUCCUACGGGAGGCAGCAGUGAGGAAUAUUGGUCAAUGGGCGAGAGCCUGAACCAGCCAAGUAGCGUGAAGGAUGACUGCCCUAUGGGUUGUAAACUUCUUUUAUAAAGGAAUAAAGUCGGGUAUGGAUACCCGUUUGCAUGUACUUUAUGAAUAAGGAUCGGCUAACUCCGUGCCAGCAGCCGCGGUAAUACGGAGGAUCCGAGCGUUAUCCGGAUUUAUUGGGUUUAAAGGGAGCGUAGAUGGAUGUUUAAGUCAGUUGUGAAAGUUUGCGGCUCAACCGUAAAAUUGCAGUUGAUACUGGAUAUCUUGAGUGCAGUUGAGGCAGGCGGAAUUCGUGGUGUAGCGGUGAAAUGCUUAGAUAUCACGAAGAACUCCGAUUGCGAAGGCAGCCUGCUAAGCUGCAACUGACAUUGAGGCUCGAAAGUGUGGGUAUCAAACAGGAUUAGAUACCCUGGUAGUCCACACGGUAAACGAUGAAUACUCGCUGUUUGCGAUAUACGGCAAGCGGCCAAGCGAAAGCGUUAAGUAUUCCACCUGGGGAGUACGCCGGCAACGGUGAAACUCAAAGGAAUUGACGGGGGCCCGCACAAGCGGAGGAACAUGUGGUUUAAUUCGAUGAUACGCGAGGAACCUUACCCGGGCUUAAAUUGCAGAUGAAUUACGGUGAAAGCCGUAAGCCGCAAGGCAUCUGUGAAGGUGCUGCAUGGUUGUCGUCAGCUCGUGCCGUGAGGUGUCGGCUUAAGUGCCAUAACGAGCGCAACCCUUGUUGUCAGUUACUAACAGGUUCCGCUGAGGACUCUGACAAGACUGCCAUCGUAAGAUGUGAGGAAGGUGGGGAUGACGUCAAAUCAGCACGGCCCUUACGUCCGGGGCUACACACGUGUUACAAUGGGGGGUACAGAGGGCCGCUACCACGCGAGUGGAUGCCAAUCCCCAAAACCUCUCUCAGUUCGGACUGGAGUCUGCAACCCGACUCCACGAAGCUGGAUUCGCUAGUAAUCGCGCAUCAGCCACGGCGCGGUGAAUACGUUCCCGGGCCUUGUACACACCGCCCGUCAAGCCAUGGGAGCCGGGGGUACCUGAAGUGCGUAACCGCGAGGAGCGCCCUAGGGUAAAACUGGUGACUGGGGCU
rnacentral:rRNA from 1 species